AUUGAACGCUGGCGGAAUGCUUUACACAUGCAAGUCGAACGGUAGAGGGGGCAACCCCUCGAGAGUGGCGAACGGGAGUAAUAUAUCGGAACGUGCCCAGUCGUGGGGGAUAACGUAGCGAGAGUUACGCUAAUACCGCAUACGAUCUAAGGAUGAAAGCGGGGGAUCGCAAGACCUCGCGCGAUUGGAGCGGCCGAUAUCAGAUUAGGUAGUUGGUGGGGUAAAGGCUCACCAAGCCAACGAUCUGUAGCUGGUCUGAGAGGACGACCAGCCACACUGGAACUGAGACACGGUCCAGACUCCUACGGGAGGCAGCAGUGGGGAAUUUUGGACAAUGGACGCAAGUCUGAUCCAGCCAUUCCGCGUGCAGGAUGAAGGCCCUCGGGUUGUAAACUGCUUUUGUACGGAACGAAAAGGUCUCUCUUAAUACGGGGGGCUCAUGACGGUACCGUAAGAAUAAGCACCGGCUAACUACGUGCCAGCCGCCGCGGUAAUAC
rnacentral:rRNA from 1 species